UACGUAGGGUGCGAGCGUUGUCCGGAAUUAUUGGGCGUAAAGAGCUCGUAGGCGGUCUGUCGCGUCGGUCGUGAAAACUUGGGGCUUAACCCUGAGCUUGCGGUCGAUACGGGCAUCACUGGAGUUCGGCAGGGGAGACUGGAAUUCCUGGUGUAGCGGUGAAAUGCGCAGAUAUCAGGAGGAACACCGGUGGCGAAGGCGGGUCUCUGGGCCGAAAUUGACGCUGAGGAGCGAAAGCGUGGGGAGCAAACAGG
rnacentral:rRNA from 1 species